rnacentral:lncRNA from 1 species
UGGCAGUUUAAUAUAAUUUAUUAACUUAUCAGGCCAUUCCAUCCCAAAAUAUGAUUUGACCAGCUUUAAGAGAUGUACAUAACAGCACAAAAAAAAAAAAAAUAACAGAAAAUGGGGAAGUGAAAGCAAAGCCAAAUAAAAUGAAGCCAGGGAUUGGUCCACAAAUUGCAAAACAAAAGGGCCUGUUCAGGUUUUAGAAUUGGACAUUAAAUCCCUGAGGCUCCUGAUGGACAAAAUUUAAUCCAUUUUAAUUUCACAGUCCCUAAGAGGGAAUUAAAAUCAAUUACAAAUGUCUCAUUUCCAUAAAUUAGUUGGUCGAGAAAGGUCCCUGGAGAUGACACCUGUGCUUCUCCAGGACACACCAACCGGGUUUAGCGUGAGCUCCUGCCCCUACUACUGAUGCUGGCGCUCCAGCCUAGCUGGCCUUACCUCUCCAUCUAUUUCUGGGAAACUUCAGGAACAGGGUUGGGUUGGCGACCUCAUACGUGGUCAUGAACAAGCCCUUUCCUCUCAAGUGCUGUCCACAGAGGGAUUCUCUCCUGCCUUGCCCCCUGGGUGAAGUCUGCAGUGGAGGGUUUCAAAGUGUCUCACCACCACUUCCUGCUGGUCCCCAGUGCCUAUAAAUAUGCGGAAGCUUCUCUGUGGUCCACGAAUCCCCCCAAAGCACUGAAGCCAAGUGUGUUCUAUGUGGAAGGAGAAGACUCCUUUCUCCUUUGUGCCACAUUUGUCACCUGCCACCAAGUUAGGGCUCCCUGAGCCCCAGUGACUCGAGAUUCUAGUAGUCACAACUCUGCCAGCCUGGGCCUGUGGCUCCUCUCCUGCUUGGGCUCAGAUACAUCUGUCAUGCUGCUCCAGGACCAGCUUAGAGACUGAUUCUUGUUUUCCUGAUCCCCCUUCCCGUGGCCCUCGCCCUCUAGGGGGCACAAUUUUUAUGGGAUAUUUUUCUACAAUGAAAAUGUAAAAAAAAAAAAAAAAGUGACUUUAGAAAUAAGUAUCAUGUAAUAGCAGGCAUGAUCAGAAGCAUCUUUACACACAAAAAGAAUCACCAACAGCGCCCUCAUUAGAAAAUCAAUGUCUAUGUGACUCCCUAGUCGACUAUAGCAUGUUUAGGUAAAAUUAUCUAAUUGUAUUCUUCUUUUUACUCUUCUAAUGCUCUUGACUUAACCAAGUGGCUCUUAAAACAAAGAAGCUCUCAGCUUUGAGAAGUGGGGGAACCAAACACACACUGAAAAGAACUGGGACCUCUCAAACUCUCUGUCUCUUCCUCCAAGCAGCAUAAAAUGGGGUUACUGGGGUGCAGGCUCCUGUAGGGUUCCUAACAGAGACUAGGUGAGAGAUGCGGCACACGGAGGUGAGGAGAAAGGUCACCCACUCAGCUGCAGCAUGGGGUGGGGGAAGCAACAAUAAGGUAAGGAAGGAACCUGCCUUUGCCCCCCGAAAACAUGCAUUUAUUUGGAGGUAAGUGCAGGCUUGCUGAAAGUCAGAGGGAGGGCAAAAUGAUGCUAAAGACAUGCUAGCAGUAAUAGUGAUGCUGGGAGUGUGAAGAAACAGCCAGGAGCUGUGGGGGAAAAGGAUCCAGUGUCUACCAUCCCAGGCCUCCAGGCCCAUUUCAACUCCCUCCUCUCCUGUAAAGCCUUCCCUGCACUCCCACUGCAUGGAACACUAACCCCUUGUAGCAGAUUGGGGCAGGGGCUUGAGAUUGGUGUUUGCUAUUAACAGGUGGGGGAGCUGAGCAAUGCCCAAAUGGAGGAUGGGAUCAAAACUGAGGUUAAGGGGAGCUUUGGGAGGCUGAGGUGGGAGGAUCGCUUGAGGCCAGGAGUUCAAGACCAGCCUGGGCAACACAAGACCCCCAUCUCCCCCCCAAAAAAAAUGGGGUAAGGGAAUAUUUUGAAUGAUUAAUUUUGACUUUAGAUAUUGACUUCAUUCAGAAAGAGACCUCUCAGGCAGCUGGGAUCCUAAGAGGAGAGGCCACAGCAGGACACAGAUCUGGAAGUCAUUAGCAUCUACACAGAAGAAAAGAGAGAAAGAAAGGAAAAGAAAAAAAGAAGAGAAAGGGAAACAGAGUGAAUGAAGAAGCAAGCCUAGGACAGAACUCUGGAGUACAAAGACCCAGAACAGCCUGGGUGAGGCAAGUUCACCUGCAACACCCACACCCACUCCAGACAUCACUGCCUUCAUUACUUCAAAACUGCACCCCUGUCCCCAAAGGGUGUUACUCCCCUACAGAAAGUGACUCAAUUCUUUUCUGCAGCCCGAAAGCAGAGAGCUAUCCCCACUGGGGGCCCCAGAACAAGAUGAGGCAGGACGGACUACCCAGAGCGCCUGACUACAUUAUUUAGCAUGGAGGGACCCUAGCUGCUUUACUCGGCUUCUGGGAGGAGGCUACAGUGGACAAUAAGGCCAAGGCAGCCAUGACCAUGAGUUCAGCUGCUGAGGUCAAGGCCUUAGAAAAAACCGAGUAUCUGAAAAAGUCUUGGCCCCUCCUUUCCCUGCCCCUACCUUUGGGUCUGCUGCCUCUGGGGGUCUGAGGAAUGGGAGGCCUAAGGUCCUUUAGGUACCUUUUUGUCCCUUCAGAGGAGCCAAUGCCCUUCUUGAGGUGGAGGGUGAAGAAAUCAAGGGGAGGCAGCCAUCUGGGGAGACGAUCCUGCCUUUAGCAGCUCACAUGAUGUAACACCCUCCCAGGGCAGCAUUUGCUGGUUUGGUUUUCCAUAACCAGGGUCUGACCUGUGGCCAGGAAGGCUGAGAAACUGUCCACCCAUUCUGCAGAGUGAAUCUACUUCCCAAGAGCAGAAUCACGCUAGCAAAGCUCAGGGUGUGUAAAACCAGAUGUCAGUUUAUCUGAGCAGCACAGACCUACUGGAGGGCGCCUGGGUGCCCAGCAAGCUCUUGGGUAGACAGCAAGCCUGGAACACUGAAGCCCCCUGAAAGAGUGCUUCUUCCAAAGGAAGUCAGGUAGACAAGGAGGAAGGGACCACCUGGGCCAUUUUCUCACCUGGCCCACACUGGCCUUGCUUUCAUGACUGAACCUCUAUUAAGAUUCAUGAGACAAGAAUGGCAGAUAAUAAACAUCAAAACUGUUCACUAAAGAUAUGAGACACUAACACACUACCAAACCCAGGGGAAAGGGUGACCAAGUGGAGAGAGGACUACCACCUCACAUCCACACAGAGCUCAGCUUGACUUCCACAGUGAGGGCUCCAGAAAACUCAGGGCUACAUGAAGAAUUCAGGGGUCAGUAACAAAGAAGACAGGGUCCAGAACAUGAUGGUAGUGGGUGGGAGUGGGGAAUGGUCUAGAUCUCCUUUGAGGGCCAUCUUCCUCUCCAUUCAGCACUAUCAAGUAGCUCUGUCCUAGGCCCAAUAUUUGAAACUGAAAUUCUUCCUUUCUCAUUAGUUUAACUACUUCGCAUACACAGAUCUCUAGUCCUAGCCUCUCCCCUAGCUGCUAGCCGACAUCCAAAUGCAUAGCAUCACCAUGAUUUCCCUUAAGCACCUCAAGUUCUAGACAUACCAAACUAAACUUCUCAUCUUCUGCCCUCCUGCUCUAUCAGCCUCUCCUCCUUGUGCUCCCAAUUCUGAAUGAGGACAUGCUCUACCCAGUCACCAAAGGCAUUCUAGCUUUCCUCUGAUGUCCUCCCCUCUGCCUCUGAGACCUUUCCCAUUCAUUCCCUCCUCCUCAGUGUCACCACUGCUCUAGUUCAGACCCUAGCCUUUAGCUGAAAUACCACAACAGUGUCCCAAAAGGCCAUCCUAAUUGCAGCAUGUCCAAGUUCCAUUCAGCUGUCAGAUUUCAACCAUGCACAUCUGAACAUUGCCCCGGGCCUGGUGUUGACACUCCAUUCACAUGUGAGGUCCUCAGUGACCUUGCUCCAGCACUCCUCUAAUAUCAGCUCCCUGUUCCCAACCUCCCAUCAUACAACCCCACCCUGAAUCCAUGCUAUUCCACACAACAGUGCCUUUCCCUGGAAUUCCCUCCCUCUCCCUCACCUCAGGAUCCUUCCUCUCAGCUCACAUUACUAGACAAUAUCACUGUAUUACUGCAGUUACUGACAUCUGCUGACUUCUAUCCAGGGUUCAUCCCAUGACCCCUGCCCCGCAGAGAUAACGUGGGCCAGAAAAGGUAAACUGGGAGGGAGUUGACGGUGAUCCUAGUGGGGCUGGUUCUUGGGAAAGGAGGUUCUGAAGCAGGGGAAGGGGUUAAGAAGGGAUAUCACUCUGUGGGAGUAGCAAAUCUCUCCACUGGCUUCCUCACAUGUUAAUAAAAGUUCCAUUCUUCAAGGCUGCUUCACAUCCACUAUCUGAUAGGUACUUCCCCAGCCCAUGAACCAAGCAGGUUAUGAAUACAUCCUAGUGUCAUAAGAGGAUGGCAGGAGGGGGAUUUUCCUUUAAAGUCCUAUGGAAACCGAAGUCCUUGGUCAACAGUUUUAAACCCUUCUAAGGAGAAACUCUGGAGGCCAAAGUGCUGCAAAUGUUAAAACCAUCCUAUGUGAACCUUUCUAACUUAGCCUGUCCAUGUGGGAGGUGAGUCUUAAGGGUCAACAUACAGAAAGCCCUGGGCAGGCCUGGGACAGGAUGGCUCAGGGUAAAAUUGUGCCAAGAACCUGGUACACAGAACAGUGGUCAAGGCCCUCUCAGUAGAUGACCAUAUACACCAGCACCUCCCACCUCAGUCUUGGCAUGGGGACCAAGAACAAAGCUUCUGCUUGCCAAAAGGAAAAGCCAGACAGACAAAAAUGUAGGGACCCCAGGCUUCUGUUAGGGUUAACCUAUGAUCAGCCAAGCAUGGCAAGAAGUAGGACUGUCCCCUGAGAAAAAGAGAACUCUUACAUCCCAUUUCCUUAGCCAAAGCAGUAUCUUAUUGGAAGAAAAAUUACUUAGGCCGCAUAUUUUUCCCAAUCUCAACCCACCUAUAUCUCUCACCCAUAUUAUUGCGAAGAUGGAAACUCACAUCAAGUAUUUUGAUAAUAGCUCAUCCUUGCUCAAAUCACUUCACCAAUUCUGGAUAUCCCAAGUCCUUUAAUCCUUAGGGAUUCUCAGUUUCCAUAUUUGUUUAAAAAAUUCAAA